GCGACUAAGCGUACACGGUGGAUGCCCUGGCAGUCAGAGGCGAUGAAGGGCGUACUAAUCUGCGAUAAGCGCCGGUAAGGUGAUAUGAACCGUUAUAACCGGCGAUACCCGAAUGGGGAAACCCAGUGUGAUUCGUCACACUAUCAUUAACUGAAUCCAUAGGUUAAUGAGGCGAACCGGGGGAACUGAAACAUCUAAGUACCCCGAGGAAAAGAAAUCAACCGAGAUUCCCCCAGUAGCGGCGAGCGAACGGGGAGGAGCCCAGAGCCUGAAUCAGCAUGUGUGUUAGUGGAAGCGUCUGGAAAGGCGCGCGAUACAGGGUGACAGCCCCGUACACAAAAGCGCAUGUGCUGUGAGCUCGAUGAGUAGGGCGGGACACGUGGUAUCCUGUCUGAAUAUGGGGGGACCAUCCUCCAAGGCUAAAUACUCCUGACUGACCGAUAGUGAACCAGUACCGUGAGGGAAAGGCGAAAAGAACCCCGGCGAGGGGAGUGAAAAAGAACCUGAAACCGUGUACGUACAAGCAGUGGGAGCACAGGUUUACCUGUGUGACUGCGUACCUUUUGUAUAAUGGGUCAGCGACUUAUAUUCUGUAGCAAGGUUAACCGAAUAGGGGAGC
rnacentral:rRNA from 1 species